rnacentral:rRNA from 1 species
AUUGAACGCUGGCGGAAUGCCUUACACAUGCAAGUCGAACGGCAGCACGGACUUCGGUCUGGUGGCGAGUGGCGAACGGGUGAGUAAUGUAUCGGAACGUGCCCAGUCGUGGGGGAUAACGUAGUGAAAAUUACGCUAAUACCGCAUACGAUCUAUGGAUGAAAGCGGGGGAUCGCAAGACCUCGCGCGAUUGGAGCGGCCGAUAUCAGAUUAGGUAGUUGGUGGGGUAAAGGCCCACCAAGACAACGAUCUGUAGCUGGUCUGAGAGGACGUACAGCCACACUGGAACUGAGACACGGUCCAGACUCCUACGGGAGGCAGCAGUUGGGAAGUUUGGACAAUGGGCGAAAGCCUGAUCCAGCCAUUCCGCGUGCAGGAUGAAGGCCCUCGGGUUGUAAACUGCUUUUGUACAGAACGAAAAGGUUUCUACUAAUACUAGGAGCUCAUGACGGUACUGUAAGAAUAAGCACCGGCUAACUACGUGCCAGCCGCCGCAGUAA